rnacentral:rRNA from 1 species
CCUACGGGAGGCAGCAGUGAGGAAUAUUGGUCAAUGGGCGCGAGCCUGAACCAGCCAAGUAGCGUGAAGGAUGACUGCCCUACGGGUUGUAAACUUCUUUUAUAUGGGAAUAAAGUGCGGCACGUGUGCCGCUUUGUAUGUACCUUAUGAAUAAGGAUCGGCUAACUCCGUGCCAGCAGCCGCGGUAAUACGGAGGAUCCGAGCGUUAUCCGGAUUUAUUGGGUUUAAAGGGAGCGUAGGCGGGUUGUUAAGUCAGUUGUGAAAGUUUGCGGCUCAACCGUAAAAUUGCAGUUGAUACUGGCAGUCUUGAGUACAGGAGAGGUAGGCGGAAUGCGUGGUGUAGCGGUGAAAUGCUUAGAUAUCACGAAGAACUCCGAUUGCGAAGGCAGCAUGCUGGACUGCCACUGACGCUGAUGCUCGAAAGUGUGGGUAUCAAACAGGAUUAGAUACCCCUGUAGUC